GGCUUGAUAGUUAAAAUGGACAAAAACACUUCCUAUGGACGGGAGAGGUCUAGGUUCGAGCCCUAGUCAAGUCU
rnacentral:tRNA from 1 species